AUGGCCUGGGCCCCUCUGCUCCUCACGCUGCUCACUUACUGCUCAGGGGUCAGUUCACAGCCCGUGGUGACUCAGGAGCCCUCAAUGUCGGAGACCCCAGGAGGGGCUGUCACUCUGUCCUGCAGUCUGAGCUCUGGAGCCAUCACCAGCAGCAACUAUCCAGGCUGGUUCCAGCAGAAACCAGGCUCUGCUCCUCGACAGCUUAUAUACUACACUAAUAACAGACCCUCCGGGAUCCCUGCCCGGUUCUCUGGGUCCAUAUCCGGUAACAACGCUGCCUUGACCAUCACCGGUGUCCAGGCAGAGGAUGAGGCUGACUAUUACUGUGCUGUGUGGACUAGUAGUGUGAAUCACAGUUCUCUCACCCAGUACGUGCUGACUCAGCCGCCUUCAGUGUCUCCAGAGCAAAACGCUCUACUCACCUGCUCAGGGAACAGCACUGAAGACUAUGGUGACACAACCAGAUGGGGGAGUGAGACACAAACAACCGUCGAGGGCAAGGAGCUUCUAGAAUUAUUAAAUGUCCAGCCAUUCCGUCAAAGAGCAGAAGUAAAACCAGGUGACCAGACAGACAACAAAUCAAAUAAGGGAUAG